rnacentral:rRNA from 1 species
CCUACGGGAGGCAGCAGUAGGGAAUCUUCCGCAAUGGACGAAAGUCUGACGGAGCAACACCGCGUGAGUGAAGAAGGAUUUCGGUUCGUAAAACUCUGUUGUUAGGGAAGAAUGAUUAUGUAGUAACUAUACAUAGUAGAGACGGUACCUAACCAGAAAGCCACGGCUAACUACGUGCCAGCAGCCGCGGUAAU